UACGUAGGGGGGCAAGCGUUGUCCGGAAUCAUUGGGCGUAAAGAGCGUGUAGGCGGUCCGGUAAGUCGGCUGUGAAAGUCCAGGGCUCAACCCUGGGGAUGCCGGUCGAUACUGCCGGACUAGAGUUCGGAAGAGGCGAGUGGAAUUCCCCGGUGUAGCGGUGAAAUGCGCAGAUAUCGGGAGGAACACCUAUGGCGAAGGCAGCUCGCUGGGACGUUACUGACGCUGAGACGCGAAAGCAUGGGGAGCGAACAGG
rnacentral:rRNA from 1 species